AUGAACGCUGGCGGCGUGCCUAAUACAUGCCAGUCGAGCGAACAGACGAGGAGCUUGCUCCUCUGACGUUAGCGGCGGACGGGUGAGUAACACGUGGAUAACCUACCUAUAAGACUGGGAUAACUUCGGGAAACCGGAGCUAAUACCGGAUAAUAUAUUGAACCGCAUGGUUCAAUAGUGAAAGACGGUUUUGCUGUCACUUAUAGAUGGAUCCGCGCUGCAUUAGCUAGUUGGUAAGGUAACGGCUUACCAAGGCAACGAUGCGUAGCCGACCUGAGAGGGUGAUCGGCCACACUGGAACUGAGACACGGUCCAGACUCCUACGGGAGGCAGCAGUAGGGAAUCUUCCGCAAUGGGCGAAAGCCUGACGGAGCAACGCCGCGUGAGUGAUGAAGGUCUUCGGAUCGUAAAACUCUGUUAUUAGGGAAGAACAAAUGUGUAAGUAACUAUGCACGUCUUGACGGUACCUAAUCAGAAAGCCACGGCUAACUACGUG
rnacentral:rRNA from 1 species